UACGGGGGGGGUAAGCGUUGUUCGGAAUUACUGGGCGUAAAGGGCUCGUAGGCGGCCAACUAAGUCAGACGUGAAAUCCCUCAGCUUAACUGGGGAACUGCGUCUGAUACUGGAUGGCUUGGAUUCGGGAGAGGAAUGCGGAAUUCCAGGUGUAGCGGUGAAAUGCGUAGAUAUCAUUUGGAACGCCAAUGGUGAAAACAGGUAACUGGGAGUGUGCUGACGCUGAGACACGAAAGCCAGGGGAGCGAACGGG
rnacentral:rRNA from 1 species